rnacentral:ribozyme from 12 species
UCAAGAUUAUAAUCACAAAUCUUGAAGGAGCAAGAACAAGAAGAAGAACCUGAAAAAAAGGGACUACAAUUGCAACUCUUGCUUUUGAGUCUUACUUUCUCUCUCACUUUCUCCUU